rnacentral:rRNA from 1 species
GACGUAGGGCGCGAGCGUUGUCCGGAUUUAUUGGGCGUAAAGGGCUCGUAGGCGGCCAACUAAGUCAGACGUGAAAUCCCUCGGCUUAACCGGGGAACUGCGUCUGAUACUGGAUGGCUUGAGUUUGGGAGAGGGAUGCGGAAUUCCAGGUGUAGCGGUGAAAUGCGUAGAUAUCUGGAGGAACACCGGUGGCGAAGGCGGCAUCCUGGACCAACACUGACGCUGAGGAGCGAAAGCCAGGGGAGCAAACGGG